rnacentral:rRNA from 1 species
GGGCCCGCACAAGCGGUGGAGUAUGUGGUUUAAUUCGAUGCAACGCGAAGAACCUUACCAGGGUUUGACAUCCUGCGAAUCUCUUGGAAACGAGAGAGUGCCUUCGGGAGCGCAGUGACAGGUGGUGCAUGGCUGUCGUCAGCUCGUGUCGUGAGAUGUUGGGUUAAGUCCCGCAACGAGCGCAACCCACGUCUUUAGUUGCCAGCAUUCAGUUGGGCACUCUAGAGAGACCGCCGGUGAUAAACCGGAGGAAGGUGUGGAUGACGUCAAGUCAUCAUGCCCCUUACGUCCUGGGCUACACACGUACUACAAUGCUACGGACAAAGAGCAGCAAGUUCGCGAGGACAAGCAAAUCUCAUAAACCGUGGCUCAGUUCAGAUCGUAGGCUGCAACUCGCCUACGUGAAGGCGGAAUCGCUAGUAAUCG